rnacentral:rRNA from 1 species
UACGUAGGGAGCAAGCGUUGUUCGGAUUUACUGGGCGUAAAGGGCGCGUAGGCGGCAACUCAAGUCAUCUGUGAAAUCUCCGGGCUUAACUCGGAACGGUCAGAUGAUACUGUUUUGCUAGAGUGCAGAAGGGGCAAUCGGAAUUCUUGGUGUAGCGGUGAAAUGCGUAGAUAUCAAGAGGAACACCUGAGGUGAAGGCGGGGUUGCUGGGCCGACACUGACGCUGAGGCGCGAAAGCCAGGGGCAGCGAACGGG